CCAAUAGCGUAUAUUAAAGUUGCUGCAGUUAAAAAGCUCGUAGUUGAAUUUCGGGAUCAAUAUGUUGGUCGUGCCUUAGUACGUACUAGCUUAUUGAUUUCUCCCUUCUGACGAACCAUGAUGUCAUUAAUUUGGUGUCAUGGGGAAUCAGAACUGUUACUUUGAAAAAAUUAGAGUGUUUAAAGCAGGCUCACGCUUGAAUACAUUAGCAUGGAAUAAUGAAAUAGGACGUUUGAUUCUAUUUUGUUGGUUUCUAGGAUUGACGUAAGGAUUAAUAGGGAUAGUUGGGGGCAUUAGUAUUCAAUUGUCAGGGGUGAAAUUCUUGGAUUUAUUGAAGACUAACUACUGCGAAAGCAUUUGCCAAGGAUGUUUUCAUUAAUCAAGAACGAAAGUUAGGGGAUCGAAGACGAUCAGAUACCGUCGUAGUCUUAACCAUAAACUAUGCCGACUAGGGAUCGGAUGAUGUUAAUUUUCUAAUGACUCAUUCGGCGCCUUACG
rnacentral:rRNA from 1 species